AGAGUCCACCUGUCAGAGUGACACUCCUCAUGGAUCAAUAUGAUGGACAGGACUGUUUAGUGACUUUAUUAAUGACCUGGGGAUGAGGUGGAGUGCAAUCUGAGAUAUGUAGCGGUGCCGCGCUGAUUGUGCUGCUCUGGCGGUGGGGCUGACCCGGGCUGGACAUCAGGUGCCCACCAAACUCCCACUCCUCUCCUCAGCCAGGCAGGGCAGAGGAAACACAAGGAAAAGUUCAUGGGUCGAGUGAAACAUUCCCUGUCAGUAUUUGCAACCUGAGCAAUUGGACAUUGUGAACGAGGAACAGAAGGUGAAAUGAAAGAGAAACAGAGGGCUGAACUGCUCUGCCACGUGGGCAAAACGCAG